rnacentral:tRNA from 1 species
GGAGAGGUGGGUGAGUGGCUGAAACCAGCUCCCUGCUAAGGAGCCAUACGUAUUGCACGUAUCGAGGGUUCGAAUCCCUCCCUCUCCGCCA